rnacentral:rRNA from 1 species
GACGAACGCUGGCGGCGUGCUUAACACAUGCAAGUCGAACGAAGAGCGAUGGAAGCUUGCUUCUCUCAAUCUUAGUGGCGAACGGGUGAGUAACGCGUAAUCAACCUGCCCUUCAGAGGGGGACAACAGUUGGAAACGACUGCUAAUACCGCAUACGAUCUAAUCUCGGCAUCGAGGAUAGAUGAAAGGUGGCCUCUACAUGUAAGCUAUCACUGAAGGAGGGGAUUGCGUCUGAUUAGCUAGUUGGAGGGGUAACGGCCCGCCAAGGCGAUGAUCAGUAGCCGGUCUGAGAGGAUGAACGGCCACAUUGGGACUGAGACACGGCCCAGACUCCUACGGGAGGCAGCAGUGGGGAAUCUUCCGCAAUGGACGAAAGUCUGACGGAGCAACGCCGCGUGAGUGAUGACGGCCUUCGGGUUGUAAAGCUCUGUUAAUCGGGACGAAAGGCCUUCUUGCGAAUAGUGAGAAGGAUUGACGGUACCGGAAUAGAAAGCCACGGCUAACUACGUG